GCCCCGGUAGUGUAGCUCGGCCCAGCAUCUCGGACUUUCGAUCCGACGACCCGGGUUCAAAUCCCGGCCGGGGCACCA
rnacentral:tRNA from 1 species